rnacentral:rRNA from 1 species
AACGAACGCUGGCGGCAUGCCUAACACAUGCAAGUCGAACGAGACCUUCGGGUCUAGUGGCGCACGGGUGCGUAACGCGUGGGAACCUGCCCUUAGGUUCGGAAUAACUCCCCGAAAGGGAUGCUAAUACCGGAUAAUGUCUUCGGACCAAGGAUUUAUCGCCUUUGGAUGGGCCCGCGUUGGAUUAGCUAGUUGGUAGGGUAAAAGCCUACCAAGGCGAGGAUGCAUAGCUGGUCUGAGAGGAUGAUCAGCCACAAUGGGACUGCGACCCGGCCCAGACUCCGACGGGAGGCAGCAGUGGGGAAUAUUGGACAAUGGGCGAAAGCCUGAUCACGCAAUGCCGCGUGAGUGAUGAAGGCCUUAGGGUUGUAAAGCUCUUUUACCCGGGAUGAUAAUGACAGUACCGGGAGAAUAAGCCCCGGCUAACUACGUG